AGUGAACGCUGGCGGUAGGCCUAACACAUGCAAGUCGAACGGCAGCACAGUAAGAGCUUGCUCUUACGGGUGGCGAGUGGCGGACGGGUGAGGCAUACAUCGGAAUCUACUUUUUCGUGGGGGAUAACGUAGAGAAACUUACGCUAAUACCGCAUACGACCUACGGGUGAAAGCAGGGGAUCUUCGGACCUUGCGCGAUUGAAUGAGCCGAUGUCGGAUUAGCUAGUUGGCGGGGUAAAGGCCCACCAAGGCGACGAUCCGUAGCUGGUCUGAGAGGAUGAUCAGCCACACUGGAACUGAGACACGGUCCAGACUCCUACGGGAGGCAGCAGUGGGGAAUAUUGGACAAUGGGCGCAAGCCUGAUCCAGCCAUACCGCGUGGGUGAAGAAGGCCUUCGGGUUGUAAGGCCCUUUUGUUGGGGAAGAAGAGCUGCAGGAUAAUACGCCGCUGUUCUGACGGUACCCAAAGAAUAAGCACCGGCUAACUUCGUG
rnacentral:rRNA from 1 species